GACGAACGCUGGCGGCGUGCUUAACACAUGCAAGUCGAACGAUGAAGCCUCUUCGGGGGUGGAUUAGUGGCGAACGGGUGAGUAACACGUGAGUAACCUGCCCUUCACUUCAGGAUAAGCCUUGGAAACGGGGUCUAAUACUGGAUAUGACUCAAGCUCGCAUGGGUUUGGGUGGAAAGAUUUUUUGGUGGGGGAUGGGCUCGCGGCCUAUCAGCUUGUUGGUGAGGUAGUGGCUUACCAAGGCGACGACGGGUAGCCGGCCUGAGAGGGUGACCGGCCACACUGGGACUGAGACACGGCCCAGACUCCUACGGGAGGCAGCAGUGGGGAAUAUUGCACAAUGGGCGCAAGCCUGAUGCAGCGACGCCGCGUGAGGGAUGAAGGCCUUCGGGUUGUAAACCUCUUUCGUCAGGGAAGAAGCGAAAGUGACGGUACCUGAAGAAGAAGCACCGGCUAACUACGUGCCAGCAGCCGCCGUAA
rnacentral:rRNA from 1 species